GGAUCUAAAUGAUGAUCUUCUUGCAGAGGUUGAUGAAGAACUUUAGCAUGUUUAUCAUGAUGAACGAAUUCACUAUAACGUUAGGUAUAGUAUUGAGGAAACAAGGAGGGGGGAAGCUAUUAGAGAUCAUAUAGCAGCUGAUAUGUGGGCCACUUAUAAUACUUGAUUACAUUUUGGACUAAUGUGUUGAUUAUGACAUUUGUAUGGUUUAUGACUUGUGAUAUAUUUUAAAGUUUUAAUUGAACAAUAUAAUUUAGAAUUUGUAU
rnacentral:lncRNA from 1 species